rnacentral:rRNA from 1 species
UACAGAGGGGGCAAGCGUUGUUCGGAAUUACUGGGCGUAAAGAGCGCGCAGGCGGUCGUUCAAGUCGCGUGUGAAAGCCCCCGGCUCAACUGGGGAGGGUCACGCGAUACUGAUCGACUCGAAGGCAGGAGAGGGAAGUGGAAUUCCCGGUGUAGUGGUGAAAUGCGUAGAUAUCGGGAGGAACACCAGUGGCGAAGGCGACUUCCUGGCCUGUUCUUGACGCUGAGGCGCGAAAGCUAGGGGAGCAAACAGG